rnacentral:lncRNA from 1 species
CACAAAUGUCUUUUCUAGUGUGGCUGUGUGUGUGGGUUUGCUCCAGUAGUCACCCUUUGGAUACUCACAGAAGUCAAAAAAACUGGAUUUUAUUGCAUAACAAACAACCCACCAAAAUCAGUGGUUUAAUACAACAAAAUUUUAUACCUUGCUAAUGAUUUGUGUCCAUCACAGCUGAUCAAGAACCCAAACUGACAGA